rnacentral:rRNA from 1 species
UGGGGAAUUUUGGACAAUGGACGCAAGUCUGAUCCAGCCGUGCCGCGUGCGGGAAGAAGGCCUUCGGGUUGUAAACCGCUUUUGUCAGGGAAGAAACGAGUUUCUCUAAUACAGAGACUUAAUGACGGUACCUGAAGAAUAAGCACCGGCUAACUACGUGCCAGCAGCCGCGGUAAUACGUAGGGUGCGAGCGUUAAUCGGAAUUACUGGGCGUAAAGCGUGCGCAGGCGGUUUUAUAAGACAGAUGUGAAAUCCCCGGGCUCAACCUGGGACCUGCAUUUGUGACUGUAUAGCUAGAGUACGGUAGAGGGGGAUGGAAUUCCGCGUGUAGCAGUGAAAUGCGUAGAUAUGCGGAGGAACACCGAUGGCGAAGGCAAUCCCCUGGGCCUGUACUGACGCUCAUGCACGAAAGCGUGGGGAGCAAACA